GAUGAACGCUGGCGGCGUGCCUAAUACAUGCAAGUCGAGCGAACAGACGAGGAGCUUGCUCCUCUGACGUUAGCGGCGGACGGGUGAGUAACACGUGGAUAACCUACCUAUAAGACUGGGAUAACUUCGGGAAACCGGAGCUAAUACCGGAUAAUAUAUUGAACCGCAUGGUUCAAUAGUGAAAGACGGUUUUGCUGUCACUUAUAGAUGGAUCCGCGCCGCAUUAGCUAGUUGGUAAGGUAACGGCUUACCAAGGCGACGAUGCGUAGCCGACCUGAGAGGGUGGUCGGGCACACUGGAACUGAGACACGGUCCAGACUCCUACGGGAGGCAGCAGUAGGGAAUCUUCCGCAAUGGGCGAAAGCCUGACGGAGCAACGCCGCGUGAGUGAUGAAGGUCUUCGGAUCGUAAAACUCUGUUAUUAGGGAAGAACAAAUGUGUAAGUAACUAUGCACGUCUUGACGGUACCUAAUCAGAAAGCCACGGCUAACUACGUG
rnacentral:rRNA from 1 species